rnacentral:rRNA from 1 species
CAACCUGCCCACCACUUGGGGAUAACCUUGCGAAAGUAAGACUAAUACCCAAUGAUAUCUCUAGAAGACAUCUGAAAGGGAUUAAAGAUUCAUCGGUGAUGGAUGGGGAUGCGUCUGAUUAGCUUGUUGGCGGGGUAACGGCCCACCAAGGCGACGAUCAGUAGGGGUUCUGAGAGGAAGGUCCCCCACAUUGGAACUGAGACACGGUCCAAACUCCUACGGGAGGCAGCAGUGAGGAAUAUUGGUCAAUGGACGAGAGUCUGAACCAGCCAAGUAGCGUGCAGGAUGACGGCCCUAUGGGUUGUAAACUGCUUUUAUAAGGGAAUAAAGUGAGUCUCGUGAGACUUUUUGCAUGUACCUUAUGAAUAAGGACCGGCUAAUUCCGUGCCAGCAGCCGCGGUAAUACGGAAGGUCCGGGCGUUAUCCGGAUUUAUUGGGUUUAAAGGGAGCGUAGGCCGGAGAUUAAGCGUGUUGUGAAAUGUAGACGCUCAACGUCUGCACUGCAGCGCGAACUGGUUUCCUUGAGUACGCACAAAGUGGGCGGAAUUCGUGGUGUAGCGGUGAAAUGCUUAGAUAUCACGAAGAACUCCGAUUG